CCAAGGCAUGAAUUCUAAGCAGCAGACAGUGUGACUAAGUCAUGCUCACUUUAUCCCUAUACUGGAGUUUGGUAUCUCUACACCUCAAGAGGUCGAAAAAAUGAAAUCAAGCCAGCAAGAGCAUUGCCUGAUCAACACUGAUAAAUCUGUGCUUCUUGGAAUGUCAGACGUUAAUGCUGGAUCUACAAGACACAAGGAAUGCCCACAGUGUUGAGAGCCACUGGGACCUCACCACCAGUUUAGAAUGACUCAGUGACCUCUAAGAGGGGUCUCCUGUAGUCUCCCCUCCCCCAGCCUGAAACCUGCUUGCUCAGGGGUGGAGCUUGCUGCUCAAUCG